GGUUCAAUGGUCUAGUGGUUAUGAUUUCUGUCUCACAUUGAGAUUCGAGCUUUGUCUCCAGGGCGCACAGAAGGUCUCCAGUUCGAUCCUGGAUUGAACCA